rnacentral:rRNA from 1 species
GUGGGGAAUCUUAGACAAUGGGCGCAAGCCUGAUCUAGCCAUGCCGCGUGAGCGAUGAAGGCCUUAGGGUUGUAAAGCUCUUUCGCUGGGGAAGAUAAUGACUGUACCCAGUAAAGAAGCCCCGGCUAACUCCGUGCCAGCAGCCGCGGUAAUACGGAGGGGGCUAGCGUUGUUCGGAAUUACUGGGCGUAAAGCGCGCGUAGGCGGAUUGGAAAGUUGGGGGUGAAAUCCCGGGGCUCAACCUCGGAACUGCCUUCAAAACUCCCAGUCUUGAGUUCGAGAGAGGUGAGUGGAAUUCCGAGUGUAGAGGUGAAAUUCGUAGAUAUUCGGAGGAACACCAGUGGCGAAGGCGGCUCACUGGCUCGAUACUGACGCUGAGGUGCGAAAGCGUGGGGAGCAAACAGGAUUAGAUACCCGUGUGUCC